rnacentral:rRNA from 1 species
AGUGAACGCUGGCGGUAGGCCUAACACAUGCAAGUCGAACGGCAGCACAGUAAGAGCUUGCUCUUACGGGUGGCGAGUGGCGGACGAGUGAGGAAUACAUCGGAAUCUACUUUUUCGUGGGGGAUAACGUAGGGAAACUUACGCUAAUACCGCAUACGACCUACGGGUGAAAGCAGGGGAUCUUCGGACCUUGCGCGAUUGAAUGAGCCGAUGUCGGAUUAGCUAGUUGGCGGGGUAAAGGCCCACCAAGGCGACGAUCCAUAGCUGGUCUGAGAGGAUGAUCAGCCACACUGGAACUGAGACACGGUCCAGACACCUACGGGAGGCAGCAGUGGGGAAUAUUGGACAAUGGGCGCAAGCCUGAUCCAGCCAUACCGCGUGGGUGAAGAAGGCCUUCGGGUUGUAAAGCCCUUUUGUUGGGAAAGAAAAGCAGCAGGUUAAUACCCCGCUGUUCUGACGGUACCCAAAGAAUAAGCACCGGCUAACUUCGUG